UUUACUUUGUCUUUAGCAAUCAAUGCAGAAUGUCAACACUCUUUGCUGUCAUUCAUCAGCUAUAGGAUUUAUUGAUGACUGAUACUUAGCUUUCUAUUGUAUAACUAGUAUUUGUUGUUCUUCAUUGUGUAACUUAAAUCUUUCCUGUUUCCAGAACUUUGACAACAUCAAUCUUGAUGGAGAUCACAAUGCUGAAAAUAAAAAGGAUGAUACCUUUGAUGGUUUAGAAGACCUUAGUCCAUAUCAUCACGUUGAUGACUUUUCUUUCAUUAACUCUGAUGCAAAUAUAUUUCAUCCAUUUGAACCAUUUAUGGAGCUGUACGAUAUUGCUGCUCCAUUGACUUCAAUUGAUGGUCUUGGUCUAUCUGGACACAAUAAUUCAGAGGGAUUUGAUCAUAUUAUUGCUGCUCAGGGUCCCUGGACUUCAGUAUCUGCAGAUGAUGAAAAUUGUCAUGGGAUGGGGGUGAAAGAUCUUGUGACUGCAGUAAAUUGUGAUAGUGAGGCUGGUCAAUCCAAUGAAGUAUUUUGAUUCCUCAUAUUUUAAUCUGGGUGGUAACAAUGGUUUAGUUUGUUCUGGCAUCAUCUCCAAUCCUCCUAUUUUUGCUCAGCCAUUCCAUGGUUCAGAUGUAACAUGCAAUGCUGAGGAUUUCCCUCAGUUUAAAUGGCACCCUCAGUUGGAGGGGUUUGAGGGCUGUGUGGAUAUGCACCGGGAGGGUUAUGGUGUUGAAUGCACAAAUCAAGAGAUUGUAAGAUAUGAUGUUGUUGCAGCAAAUUCUUCUAUCAAUAAUCCUGAUCUGGGAUGUACAUGCUUGUGAAAACCAAGGAAGAGGUAGAUCUCAAUUCUGGUGACUGAUGGUUCCACACUCUUUUGGCUGAACUGCUUUUCUAUGCUAAUAAUCUUUGAAAUGGCAGAACAUAUGGAAUAUUCUGAUUGAUGGACAUCUUAGUGCAUUCUUCAUCUAUGUUUGUGGUUCUUGUGGUGACCCAAGCAACAAAUGCUCGGAGUGUCCGAGCGUUGUUUAUUGUGUUGCCAUGAUGCAGGUUUCUUGAACUCCGUCAUUUUUGGAGUCUGGGAGAAACUAAGUCCUUACUAUUUAUUGUUUAUUGUUUGUCGUAUUUUGGUUCCAGGGGAAGAGACAAUUUUCUGUUGUAUGGUUCGAUUCUUGGAGUAUCCCGCACAUCCGAGUUCUGCCGUAGAGCGCCCUGCUCCAUGUAUUGGAGCGAAGAGAUCUGAUGGGCAUGCUCUCUUUCUUCUCUAUGGAUACUCCUCCUUCCAUAUCAAGGCCGAGGUGACUCUUGGAGGAGGGGGACGUGGGUGCACUAACGACGCCUUAUCACACGGGUUGGAGGGGUUUCCGUUUGUUACUGAUCGCGAGGAGAAUGGAAGUGGAUCAGGAAAAGGAGCGGCUAACUACGGAUGUGGGAUCUCGUCAACACUAUUCCUGUUGACUCUCCGGUUACCAUGCUGUCCUCCUCCCUGGGGGGACGUGUAUUAUUGGAGACUUACUUCUUGGUUAUCGUUUCUUGCUGCGGCGUGGCUGAUUGUACAUAUUUCUGUUUGGUGUGCCUGCAUUGAACUAUCGGUUUCUUCUAUGUUUCUGCUUGUGUUGCAUGCGUUUUCCUCGCCCUUUGCAAUUCCCAGUAUUUCAGCUCCCCAUGUCAUGCGCAAUUUAUUAAUUACACCAAUAUCAUUAGUUUCUGAAGUCGGGUCAUUGUUUAGGUUUCAGUUGAUCUCCACCAAUUCGAGUGUUUAGAGGUGAAUUCCAGCGUAGGAGGAAGAUCAGGAUGAGAAUGUGCAGAGUUCUAAACUAUAAACGAUCCGAAGACCCUUUCCCCUUGGGAAACUGCCUCAGCUUAAGUAGUAAUCUUUAUGGUUUGAGGUUCUACUCUCUCGAUUUCCCAUUGUGUGUAAGUCUAAACUGUGGCCCCCAUUUGCUUAAAAUUUGACGUUGAUUCUUGAUUAUGAUCUUACCAUGAACGGAUCACUACGCAAAUUUGGCAAAAGGCUAGUGUGAAAUAGUGCUUUAUUGUAUAUUAAUAAGAUUUGAGACGAAUCUUCUUAUAUGGGUCCAUGUUGUUUGUAAGUACUAAUGGUUAAUUAGAGUGGACCUGUCUUAGCAA